ensembl:processed_transcript
GCUUGAUGACUCGACUGAUCAUCACGGCUGCUUCGCGCUCCAGUCUCUGUGUAUCUGUGUUUUCACUGGGUGAAGAGCUGUAAAAAAUGAAUCUUGAGGCUUGUAAUUUUCAUUUAAAAAAAUGAUGUGGUCAUUAAAAAUAAUGUGCAUAUUUUCUUAAAAAAAUCGAUAUUCUGGAUUUAUUAUAAAAUAUUGAGAGAAUGUCGCUAAUAUAACUAGGAUUUAAAUUUCACUUAUUUGUUUAAGCAAACCAGUGCAAUUAUUAGGCUUACUUUGAGAGACCAGUUAAGCUAAAAAAAAUUGAGGAAAGAUGGCUUCACCUUUAUUUUAAGAAAAUUUACACAAUUUUGUGGAUUUAAUUGAGAUGUUUGCAUUUGAAUCUCAACAACGGCAGUGAUCAGACGACAUUUUGAAGGAGCAGAUUAACAUCGAGCAUGUUAAGAGCAGUGAUCAGGCAACAGUUAAGCAGGGUGGGCGAACAACAGUGAGCUUGUUAAGUGAUUAAUAAAGAAAAUGUUCACAGUAUUUUCCCACUGAAGAGGAGCGGUUUAUUCGGGCAGAUUUUGAUAAAGAGAAUGGGUGCCAAACAGCAGACCUCACAAUAAAUCAAGGAGGAGAUGAGAGAUGUCGUCCUCUGUUGCUGGUCUAUCUCUAUGAAUAAGAGGAGGAGCUCAUCCAUGAGUGCAAUUGUGGGAUUGCACAGAGAAUUGCUGUCUGCUAGAGGAAUGACCAACCAUGAGGACUUCUGCCUUGUCUUGGAGGAUGAGUGAUUCAUGACUCAUGGCUAGCUUAAAAAAUCUAGAAUUGCUGAACUGGAUUUAUACAAAUAUUCCCCAAAUUAAAAUCACUU